CGGGGCGUGGCGCAGCCUGGUAGCGCACCUGCUUUGGGAGCAGGGAGUCGGAGGUUCAAAUCCUCUCGCCCAGACCA
rnacentral:tRNA from 1 species